CUUAAAUUGAAGAGUUUGAUCAUGGCUCAGAUUGAACGCUGGCGGCAGGCCUAACACAUGCAAG
rnacentral:rRNA from 1 species